rnacentral:lncRNA from 1 species
AUUGGGAUUGAUUUUGGGAGUUUUGGUUUCAAUAGUUUAGGAAUAAGGGGCCAAUAAAGGGCCCAAAUAAGCAUUUUUCUUGGUUUUUGCACAAUAACCUUAGGUUAAGUAAAUGGAAAUCUAUGAAAUUUAAACACAAUGUUUAUGACCACAAAAGGAAGGUUGGUAUUGAUUUUGGGAGUUUAGGACCCAACAGAUUAGGAAUUAGGGGCCAAAAAGGGACCCAAAUAAGCAUUUUUCUUGGUUUUCGCAC